rnacentral:rRNA from 1 species
GACGAACGCUGUCGGCGUGCUUAACACAUGCAAGUCGAACGGAAAGGCCCUGCUUUUGUGGGGUGCUCGAGUGGCGAACGGGUGAGUAACACGUGAGUAACCUGCCCUUGACUUUGGGAUAACUUCAGGAAACUGGGGCUAAUACCGGAUAGGAGCUCCUGCUGCAUGGUGGGGGUUGGAAAGUUUCGGCGGUUGGGGAUGGACUCGCGGCUUAUCAGCUUGUUGGUGGGGUAGUGGCUUACCAAGGCUUUGACGGGUAGCCGGCCUGAGAGGGUGACCGGCCACAUUGGGACUGAGAUACGGCCCAGACUCCUACGGGAGGCAGCAGUGGGGAAUAUUGCACAAUGGGCGGAAGCCUGAUGCAGCAACGCCGCGUGCGGGAUGACGGCCUUCGGGUUGUAAACCGCUUUCGCCUGUGACGAAGCGUGAGUGACGGUAAUGGGUAAAGAAGCACCGGCUAACUACGUGCCAGCAGCCGCGGUGAUACGUAGGGUGCGAGCGUUGUCCGGAUUUAUUGGGCGUAAAGGGCUCGUAGGUGGUUGAUCGCGUCGGAAGUGUAAUCUUGGGGCUUAACCCUGAGCGUGCUUUCGAUACGGGUUGACUUGAGGAAGGUAGGGGAGAAUGGAAUUCCUGGUGGAGCGGUGGAAUGCGCAGAUAUCAGGAGGAACACCAGUGGCGAAGGCGGUUCUCUGGGCCUUUCCUGACGCUGAGGUGCGAAAGCGUGGGGAGCGAACAGGCUUAGAUACCCUGGUAGUCCACGCUGUAAACGGUGGGUACUAGGUGUGGGGUCCAUUCCACGGGUUCCGUGCCGUAGCUAACGCUUUAAGUACCCCGCCUGGGGAGUACGGCCGCAAGGCUAAAACUCAAAGGAAUUGACGGGGCCCCGCACAAGCGGCGGAGCAUGCGGAUUAAUUCGAUGCAACGCGUAGAACCUUACCUGGGUUUGACAUGGAUCGGGAGUGCUCAGAGAUGGGUGUGCCUCUUUUGGGGUCGGUUCACAGGUGGUGCAUGCCUGUCGUCAGCUCGUGUCGUGAGAUGUUGGGUUAAGUCCCGCAACGAGCGCAACCCUUGUUCACUGUUGCCAGCACGUUAUGGUGGGGACUCAGUGGAGACCGCCGGGGUCAACUCGGAGGAAGGUGGGGAUGACGUCAAGUCAUCAUGCCCCUUAUGUCCAGGGCUUCACGCAUGCUACAAUGGCUGGUACAGAGAGUGGCGAGCCUGUGAGGGUGAGCGAAUCUCGGAAAGCCGGUCUCAGUUCGGAUUGGGGUCUGCAACUCGACCUCAUGAAGUCGGAGUCGCUAGUAAUCGCAGAUCAGCAACGCUGCGGUGAAUACGUUCCCGGG